UGUGUGGCUAUUGUUUGCAUUGACCAAUAUAAUGAGGCAAAUCAGAAAGACCUGAGACAUAUAUUUUCCAUGUACAGUCCCCACACGCUAACAUUUACUAUGCAAAAUUUCUAAGAACUUGAAACUUGAUGAAGACUUGCCGACAGUCCCAACACGCUAACAUUUAUUAUGGGUAAUUUCUAAGAACUUGAAAAGACCUGUCUAAUGUAGAGUAGGGUUAUGCAUGUUGACUUUUCAGAGAAAAGAGAGAGAAAAAAGAGAAAAGUUUCACUGGUAAUAUCUAGGAAGCUCUCUCUAGCACACCAGCACUUCAUAAAGCAAUUGAAGAGUCGAGGAUUCUCAUCGUUGUGCUCUCACACAACUAUGCUUUUUCUUCCUUAUGCUUGGAUAAACUUGCAACCAUAGUUUAUUAAAGAGUGUUUCUUCCUCCACCUCACCCAUCUCACUCUGCAUCUUCCCAUUCAACAAUUAAAAGCAAGUAUUCAUCCCUCACUUUUUUUGUCAAUCCUACAUCCCUAUCUUCUCUUUUAUCGCGUGUACAUCUUUCCUUCCUCUUCACUUUACUUGUUGUUGUGCACAUACCUAUCCUUGGUGGUCGUCAUGGUGGUAUCGUGGUGAGGUGGUUCUUCUUAGUUUGGGUGUCCAGAAUAAAGGUCGAUGCCUUAACUGUAUUGGUUCAGAACACAACGGCGUUAAAAUAGGAGUUGUAGAACUCUCCACACUGAACCGUUUAAAUUGCGGUCUAACCGCAGUUAAAAGUUGAAAGUGUGGUUCAUACCAACUGCUGCACUUGAAAUUGCAGUUUCACUGUAGCUUGAACUAUUACUUUGUUCUGAUGGCAAGUCCAAGUUCCCGUAGAUUCAUGUACGAUGUGUUCCUCAGCUUUAGAGGGAAAGACACGCGUUAUGAUUUCACUGGUUAUCUCUACAAUGCUCUCUGUGUCAAGGGAGUUCACACUUUCAUGGAUGAUGAGGAAC